UGGGGAAUAUUGCACAAUGGGCGCAAGCCUGAUGCAGCCAUGCCGCGUGUGUGAAGAAGGCCUUCGGGUUGUAAAGCACUUUCAGCGGGGAGGAAGGCGGUGAGGUUAAUAACCUCAUCGAUUGACGUUACCCGCAGAAGAAGCACCGGCUAACUCAGUGCCAGCAGCCGCGGUAAUACGGAGGGUGCAAGCGUUAAUCGGAAUUACUGGGCGUAAAGCGCACGCAGGCGGUCUGUCAAGUCGGAUGUGAAAUCCCCGGGCUCAACCUGGGAACUGCAUUCGAAACUGGCAGGCUAGAGACUUGUAGGAAGGGGUAGAAUUCCAGGUGUUGCGGUGAAAUGCGUAGAGAUCUGGAGGAAUACCGGUGGCGAAGGCGGCCCCCUGGACAAAGACUGACGCUCAGGUGCGAAAGCGUGGGGAGCCAACAGG
rnacentral:rRNA from 1 species